AGGGCACCACCAGGAGUGGAGCCUGCGGCUUAAUUUGACUCAACACGGGAAAACUCACCCGGCCCGGACACUGUAAGGAUUGACAGACUGAGAGCUCUUUCUUAAUUCGGUGGGUGGUGGUGCAUGGCCGUUCUUAGUUGGUGGAGCGAUUUGUCUGGUUAAUUCCGAUAACGAACGAGACUCUGGCCUAUUAAAUAGACGAUAUAUUUAAAAGUAUAUCGCGCUUCUUAGAGGGACAAGCGGCGUCUAGCCGCAUGAAAUAGAGCAAUAACAGGUCUGUGAUGCCCUUAGAUGCCCGGGGCUGCACGCGCGCUACACUGAAAGAAUCAGAGUGCGUUUACGCCUAGUUCGGAAGAACCGGGUAACCCAAGUAAAUUCUUUCGUGCUUGGGAUAGGGAAUUGCAAUUAUUUCCCUUAAACGAGGAAUUCCCAGUAAAUGCGGGUCAUUAGCUAGUACUGAUUACGUCCCUGCCCUUUGUACACACCGCCCGUCGCUACUACCGAUUGAAUGGUUUAGUG
rnacentral:rRNA from 1 species